AACAAGUUAGAGAAAUUGUCUUACACAAUCCAAAAAGGACUGAAUUGUGAAGCAAAUAAGAAGUAGUGCAAUAUUAGACACGACAGCAACACGUUAACGAACAGAUUCUUAAGCUCUCCUUGGAUAUGCCUUGAUUGGCUGACUGUUCGACGCACUUCAUGAAGGAUAGCAAGAUCCUGGUCAGGCCCGAUUCCAAUUGUUACCUGCAGAGAGAAGCACAAGCCAGAAGAGUGAUGGAAUACUCCCCGCUGGCCUGGACAAGCAUAGCUGCAACAACACUCAGUAAGCUUGACGCUAUCCAUGCGAAAACGAUCCGUUUGAUUAGCAUCAUUCACUACCUACAACAUUGACUGAAUAAAGCACUGAUGCAUAAAGCACAUUGGAAGUUCACCAAGGCUGCUGAGACAGCAUCUCCCAAAUCCAUGACCUGUGCCAUCGAGAAGGACAAUGGCAACAAAUACAUGAGGACAUUAUCAGCUACAAGUUCUUCUUUGGCAACUCAUCAUCCAAACUUGGAGACAGAUUGUUGUUUCCUCAUUGUCACGAGGUCAAGAUUCUGGACCUCUCUCCCUACAUCAUUGAGUGCACCUGCAUCAAGAAGACAGUAGUGG